GUUGAAUCUUAUUCCUGUCAGAUUUGACUUCAAUUUCGGGUCUGGAUUUAAAAGUAAAACUGUGAUUGGGAAGCAUGUAUGCUGAUUUCUUUUUUUAACUACUUAUAUUGAUAUGUGGUAAAGGUAGAAAAAGCUAACAUUUGGACGCCGCCUGGACGCCAUUAAUAAAAAUGUUUAACGGAAAUCACCAAACUAAGCAACCCUUGAUGCGGUCCGCAUGCGGUCCCUUGUUUUUUAAACUUUUCCCUCGGUCUUUUUUUCUCUCUUUGAUCUUGAAAAGGGCAAGAACGCGGUCUGUUCCCUCUCCCUCGCUUUUUAAAAUUGUCCCUCGUCAGUUCUCUCUCUUAAGGCCUGUGAAGAAUUAACGGGUAAAUUUACCAUGGUAAAUUUUUUCUCCCUCUUCCAAUCUAAGGCCCUAUUUGAUGCACAGGAAGAAUUUAACAUGGUAAAUUUAACCAUGUUUGAUGAUGCACAAAGUAGAAAAAUGGGGAGAAUUUUUUCAAAACUAGUUGGCUUCCGUAGGAAUAUAUAUACGUGCUUAUAGUUUGGAAACCUGAAUUUAAGAAUCAAAUUUGUUGGAUAUGUGAAUCAACAUAUAGCCCUUUCUAUAUGUCAAAGCCCCAAAAUAAUGUGAACCUAACAACAGAAAUAUUAGAUAAGGAUUAAAAUCAAUUUAAAGAAACUGUAUGUAUGAAGAAACAAUAGUGGCUCUGCAACUAACAUAACUUCUACGCGGAUCUCCGUAGGCAUUCUACAAUUAAACAAUAUGGUGAUACAGAAUUGAGAACAGAAGCAGAACCCUAAAUCAAGCCAACAUGGCAUUCAAAAGAUAAUCAACUAUGGAAUCUAGAGGCAAUUCUGAUGAGAAAGACAAUCAGCACAUGCAGCAUCAAAACAAUAUGAAGAUGUGGGGGCAUCUACUGGAGAAGCCAAAAAACAAAGAAAGAGUCUCCAUUUGGGCGUUUCUGAAAGUGAACAACAGGACCACGACAGAAUUUUUUUUCCUCCUGAAAGAAAUUCUAGAAUGACGAACAAAACGGUGGAAAACAAAACCAGAAAGAGGCAUAAUGCAAUUAAAGAGACAAACCCUUCUAUUAACGUUGCUCAGUCCAGCAAGCGGUAUCAACGAGAAACCGUGGAGACUUAGAGGCGGAAGAAGACGACUACCAACAGUGUCUGGUUGAAUUCUUUGUGGGGGCAAGUUUCCUCUAGCAAUUUUUCUCUGUGGUAGCGAAGGAAGUGAACCAUUUGACUCUCGCUUCUUCAGCUCACAUGCAGCCAUAGCAGCAGCAACCCGGGAGGAAUGAUCACCGCCAUUCAGUUGAGAGACAUCAGGGAGCCUUUGAAUUGUUCGUUGAGAUGGAGAGAGUGAGAGAGGAGAGGAACGAGAGACCGAGAGAGGAAAGGGGAAGAGGCAACACAGGGAAAAGACGAGAGAAAACAGGAUAAGAUGGAGAGAGCAAUAGAACUGCGAGAGGAGAGGAACGAGAACCUGAGGAGAAGAGAGGGGAAGAGGGUGUUGACGGGAGGGGAAAGCAGCAAUAAAGGGGAAGAUGGCAUCCACGGUUGGGGAAACCAGCAAAGAGGGGAAGAUGGGCUUCAACGGGUGGGGAAACCAGCAAGAGCAUAGGGGAGCGUGGAUGACGGGAGGGCAGAGGGGAGCGUCGUAGGGCAGAGGGGAAGAUGGGCUUCAACGGCUCGCCGUCCGUCCAGCUUGUCCGAUCACUGAUCCUUGCAUCUAGCCCUCUCUAUGGCAGGGAAGGGCUGCACCGACAAUCAGGCAGUGAAGAAAACGUCGUCUGCAAAAUCCGGUAGUGAGUUCCGGUGCUCACUCCUUUGUUUCCUCAGGCGAUAUCUCGGCGGUAGAGUUUUGGCGCCACGAACCUCGCGGCAGGGGCUUUGACGCGGGAGAACCAAAAGCGACGUGCCGUUGAGCGGGUGAAAUUUCGCCCGCUCAAAAGUCCGACCUCACAGGUCGGACUUUUGAGCAGGUGAACUUUCACCCGUCCGCUUUAACGAGAAACGGGUGAAAAAGUUCACCCCGUUUGAUAAGCCGUGAGUACGGGCAGCAAUGGAGAUCAUGUUUUUCCUAUCAAUGGAGAUUCUGGUUUCUGCCAUCCGAUCGAAUCUGCAAUGAAGGUGAUGGUCGAGUCAUCUGAAUGAAGCAGCAAAUCAAGGUUCACGGGAGAUCCAGCAAUGGUCCACCGGAAAAUCAGAAUCAUCUUUUGAUUCGCCAGGGACGAGUUCAACCUCUCCAAGGCCAAGGCCAAGACUGGGUACUCCAAGAGAGUGAAGGCUCAAAUCUGUGAUGUCGCUGGCUCUGAGAGGCUUUGCCGAACCAGAGCAAGUUGAUUAUCCAAACUUCAAACUGGUCAUUGUUGGUGAUGGCGGAACUGGCGAUCAAAGAGGGAAUGGAUGCUGUAAUAGCUGUUGGUGGUGAUGGUACGCGGACCUUACGGUUGUGAAUGGCUUCUUUUGGGAUGGAAAGCCUGUCCUGGCAAAGGCCAAGGUGAUAAAUGCAAAACUGCCCUUGGGUUGAUUCCACUGGGAACUGGAUCUGAUUUUGCAAGAACUUUUGGUUGGAAGAACGACCCUAAUCAAGCUAUUGAU